GAGGCUGACUGGCUGGCUACAUAUCUGUCUCUGGAACAAUAGGUACCUGUAUUCUGCACGGGCUGCUGGGCAGCGCUAGCACUCUGGAGAAGGUCUGCCUCUGUCUGCGCCUUCCUGGUUCAAUGCAGGCAGAUGAGUGUCCCAGCUGUAACUGAGGCACAGAGUAAUCAACAUAUCGGAGGAGCCAAUUCCCGUGAUGGCAAGAGAGGGAACCGGAGGAGGUGACUACAAUGACAAGAACAUUCUUCUAACAAGUUUUAGCACUGACUAUCCUCCGGAAAAUGGGAUCCAGGAGAAGUGACGCCCUCCUCGAACUGAAAGAUUUGCAGGCUCAUGGAGUCAGCAAAGAAGAGGAGGUUUAUGAACAGCAGCCCUUGCACUCUGCACAGGAUGGCUGCAGGGAAUGCUUUUCGGUCUUGCCCAGAGAAGUGGGCCAGGGUCACUGAGAUACCUCUGAGAUUUAAAUCAGGUGUGUGAAGGAUGCUGGAAACAUGAAUUAGUGUCUGUGUUUUUCUUGUCUUGCACUUAGGCCCACCAAGGGAAGUGGGGAAGGUGGUGGCUUAAGCCUCAAAACACGCCCCUAACACAAACCACUGUCUCCCAGGAUGUGACAUACUCCAAACCUGGCUUUCCCAGACCAUCUCUCUAUAUCUCACCAAGUUUCCAAGUUGUAAAUUUUAAAAGCAUGAUGAUAGUUUUUCAUAUAUUAAAAACAACUUGAUUUGGGAGCUAUGUUAAAAAAUUGAAACUUGAACUUUGAUUCUUUUUUAUCAUUAGUCUAUUUCCUCAUGGAAUAAGUGUUAUUGGUGAUAUGAACUGUGAGAAACUUAAAAAUAUUUCCUUCAAAGUCUCUUCAAAAUAGAUACUCACAUUAUCUUUAAAUGGUGGUUAAGUGGUUCCAAAAAAAAGCAAGCAACAUUAACAGCUUCAGAAAACAUAAACCAUGUCUCUUUAGAAGAUCAAGUUGUGCUUAAUAGCCUAGGCACUUAAUUCGUUCAGGAACUACACCGUCUCCAUGGCUGUAUUUUGUUAGAAAGGAAAGAGAGGCUGUCUCUACAGGUGUCACAGAAAAAUCGAUGCUGAGCCACGGAUUAUUGGAUCCCACGGAACCGUGGAGACUUGGCAGUGAAAUUCUUCCAAAGCAUUCCAUCUGCGCAGGCAGAGGUGUUCCUGGCUUGGGAGGUAUAAAUCCCGUGGGAAGUCAACUGGAGAACAUUUUACGCAUCGCUCAUUCUAUUAUGAGCCUGAAGCUCUUCCCUCUCUCCACAAGGUAAGAGAUUUAUUGUGAAUUGACUAAAAGAGUUAGAGGAUGUUGUGUGCUAGUGGAACCUGCUUUCAAUGUGUAUAUUCUUUGCAAGUUGUAAUGGAGAACGUGCAACUUGUUUUCUAAGUAAAGCAUAAUUGUGGUGAUUAGCCUGCUGGCCUACAUGAUGUCACACUCAUCUGUCCCUGGUGGGAUUGAUGUGUUCUGUCCUGGAGCCUGGGUUCUGUGGUGUUGUCUUCCUCAUGGGAAGUGGUGUGGGGAACUUUUUAUAAUGAAUUUGAGCAGAGUUGAUGAUUCAGGAAGAUUAUUCAGGCUUAAAAGCAGAAAAUGGCCAAAUUACUACUUUAAUCUAGCUAGAAAGUAAUAUAUUUGAAUUAUACUCAUUUGGGCAAUCAGAAAUUGAUUAUAAAAUAUCAAUCUACAAAAAGUGCCAGUUCAUGGUAGUGAAUGUGAUGAUCUUGUCAUUUAUUUUUUGUUCAUUGGUUUUUGAUUUUUAUUUUUUUUUUUAAUUUUUUUUUUUUGAGACAAGUUUUCUCUGUGUUGCCCUGGCUGUUCUGAAACUUGCUCUGUAGAACAGGCUGACCUCAAACUCAAUGAGAUCUGCCUGCCUCUGCCUCCUGAAUGCUGGGAUUAAAGGUAUGCACCACCACCACCACCCAGCUGGAGUUGCUUUUUUUUUUAAUUGGCCAGUUAAAACAGUCUUAUUCUCUUUUCCUUAGCCUAAACUUUUAAAUUGGCUGAAACACUAAACGCUGUGUACAAUCUUUACUCAAACUUGGAUACAUUAGACAGUGUCCUGAUCCUGAUUGUUCCCACAUCACUGUUAUGUGCAGGACAGCUGGCUAGAAGAGCACAGAAUUACACAUAAAAUAGCUGAAAGUGAAAAAUCUUUGGAUUUCCCAUUUGAUGCAGUAAGAUUUUAUCAAGUGCCAUGAAACUGCAUUUGACUUCACCACUGUCCCGUCAGGCUUCAUAUGCUUUGUCUGAACUGUGACUCUUUUGAGAUGUUUAAAACUAGUCUAUUUAAUGAUUAUGUUUAUAUAUAAAUCAAAUUGUUUUUACUCUUUUCCAUCUUCCUUAGCUGUGACUCAGACUAUCAUUGAAGGUACAUAAAUAAAGUGAAAAUGGUGUACAUUAGAGCUCUUUGGGGGAAAGGCCAUGCUAUUUUCUAUUCCUUGCUGAAGUUUAAUGACUGGUGCGUAAAUUCUUUGAAGUGACCAAAGACAAUAGCAGUUUUCAAGGGCUCUGAGGUUAAAAUGAGAAAUAAAGAUUUUUGUGAUGAGUGAUAACCAUAUGUAUACUGUUGCAAUGAUGGAAUAUCUUUAUGAGAAUAAAAUUACAACCACCAAGGGUGAGAUUAUGCAGGAGGUAGACCUGGAUACAGUUCCGGAUAUCUGUGUACACAGUCCAGAAUGCACCGGUCUCUAGCUCGCUCCACUCGGCAUGAGUGUUGUAUGGAUCAAAAUGAAAACAUUUUUUUCAUGCCUAUCAAAAAACAUUAAAUUGGAAUCUCUCAUAAGAUACUGAAUAUUUGUUAUCUACGUCUAAGCAGUGUGAUGCAGCCAUUUUCCUUCUAGACUAAGGUUAAGCGUGUCUCGUGAGUUUUUCAAGUUGAAUAUUUCCUAAUCAGUUUGGGGGAAGCGGCAAUUAUUGAGGCAUCCUUAUCUUUAGUGUGCAAGCGAUCUGAGAUGCCAACAUGGCAGAACACAAUGUCUUUGACUUAGGAACUUUUCCUUUGUUUGCUGCUCGUCAGCCUUUGGGGGUCUUUCUGGACUCCCCUCUCCUCUGUUUCUCUUUGAUGCUUCUAUUGUAUCCCACCUGGCAGUUAAAGGACAGAGGCAACAAUAAGGCUGCCUGGCUACGUUUUCACCGUGCCACCAACUGCGAGUUAAGCUGACAAACAUUUUGAGAGCUCGGCCCAUUUCAUUCACAGCAGGAUGGCAGGAGUUAACACAGGGAAUCAACUAAAAUUUGUGCUUUUAUUGCACAUUUGCAUUGAAUCUCAUCACUGAAAAUGACUAAAUUCUGCUCUGCAAGUGGGUGACUGACUGUCCCUGCCAGCUGGCUAAUAUCAUAAUUAACAAAGUUGCUACCACAUCUGCAAAGUUUAAUCGGAAAAUUUACCAGUGGUAUGAUGGCAUUGUCACCAAGAUCACAAGGGACUCGGAGCCGACUUCUGCUCCGGGUGGAACGGCAAGGCUGUGUAGCUGAGAUGAAAAAUUGUGAACUUGUUCAGCCAAAGGUUAUGCUUCACAUCACCCACCAGGGAGGAUCAUCUCUCAUGAAAACUUUCAAAUUUGAUUUUGAAAAUUUAUUCAGAAAAAUUUAAGCCACGCUUUUUCCCAACACAAGAAAUAAUAUGCUCCAGAGAACCCUCUAAUUCACAGAAAAUGGACUGGGAUAACAUUCGGGUUCUCAUACUACCACAGUCCUCCUGAGAAGGACAGCCAGAGCAACACAGGUAUCAGAAGACAGUGACCGGGACAUCACUCUCACAAAGGUCACAUUCACCUUGCCCAUCUCUGUUUGUGAUAAUAUCCACCCAGGGGAAAUGGGACAGGAGCAUGGGAAACAACUUGAAGCAGGAGUGUACUCAGAGGAGGCUAAUAAUGAAGGGGCCGGGGAAGGAGGCCAAUGCUACAAGGGUUAUCUCACAACCUCAGAUGUUGGAUAAGUCGAAGGAGGCAGAAUCCCUUCUGGAUGACAUUCAGAAAAGCUGGAGUGAUUAUUUGGAAGAGAAAACCCUGCCUAUUCUUUCAAAGGUACAUGAAUAUUGUUGAGACCUGCUCUUCUAAAGGUCCGUCCUUAGAAUCCUACCUUAGACAAAGGAUGAUGCACUCGGAGCCCCGCCACACCUAAAACCACGUUUUGAAGGAUCUGCCAAGCUCACUUUUAAUCAUGAGAAAGAAAUUACCCACAUGGAGACAGCAGAAAAUGAGAAAGUAGAGCUCGUGCUGCGAAUAAUUCCGGCGAGUGCCAAGGGGCUAGUUGAGGAAUGGCUUCAUGAGAUGUUAGUCUAUCUAGAACGAGACCUGAGGAUCUAAGCUGGACCUCUGAGAAAGAAACGACUCCAAGGAAAGACUCCUUUCCAUAUGGUUUUAAUGACUUUUUUACCUGAAUUGUUUAAGAUGCACUAUCAAACCAUAUUCAUCUUUUCUGCUCUCUGUAUUUAUUUUUGCUUGAAUUGCUUUAAUAUUGACUCUUGAACUACAUAUUCAUUUUGGACUCUUAAAAGAGAACUCGAAUAAAACUUUAUUUGUGUUAUUA